AUGUAGAAAAAAAAACUAAAAAACUAAAAGAAAAAACAAUAAAUGUAAUUAUAUAUAAAAUAUAUUUUUGUGCAAGUAACAAACGCAAUCGGUCACCAGCUCGUCGCAGCCAAUCUUGCAUCAAUAAUUCUAUCUCGCUGAUAGUCGCCUCGCUAUUCUUCAUAACAGUUUCUACAAUACAAAUGUAAUCAUCCUCCUCAUCAAUCCAUUUCUCCUCAGAUGUGUCAGUACUGUCUUCUCUCGCGUAUGCACAAAGACGGCGAUUUUUUUGCCGUCUGGAUAACUCUUGAAAAGCCUUUGGCAUCUGUAGUAACAAUUGAUUUAUACACUAUGAUUGAGUAUAGGAUAGACGUUCGGCUUAUGACAUUUACGUAAUUUGUAGCUUAUCAUAAAUUUUAUUGAACUGUAACAUGAUAGACGUUUUAUAUUUUAAAGCUAUUAAUAUGUUAUGAUUCUGUAUCUUUUUAUGUUCUUGUAAAAGAUCUUUAUUAAACAAUAAUACAUAUACUCUAGCCAUCAGCCUUUUACAAUUUUCAUCUUAAUCAAUGUAAUGAAAACAGGAAGCUGGUUGAAAUAAAAAAAGAAAAAAAUAUAAAGAUAACGUUAAUAAAUUGAAUGGAGUUCAAAGACAAAUAGAUAUAGCAGCACAAGCUCGGUGACUUAAAAGCUCAGAAUCUCCUUUUCAAAUUAAUUUUUUAUUAAUUUCUGUAUGAUAAUUACAUGCUAAGCUAUUGAUUUAUUAGGGAAUAUUUUCACAGGUGUUCUCAUAUUUUUGACUGGUGCUGUAAUUUAAAAAAAAGAAC